ACCUCACGUCCGUUCAAAGCAUAUUUGAGACGGUUACGCAAGAAAACGAUCAAAGGAAGGCACUCACGGGCUUUGUGAGGGCCGGGUGAUGGCUUGGGGGCAUAAGUACCAGAGAGCUUGUCUAAAAGCCAAUGGUGAGGAGCAGCAACACGCUUCAGAUGCUUUUUCGGUCCGCGAACCAUGGUAUUGUCGUGGUUGAAGGUUCAUUUCCUGCUCUGCUACAGUAAGCAAAUAAUUGUGACUGCCUUUUUCGUCAACAAAACAAAAGCAAGAAACAUGAGCCAAAUGACUUUAAAUGCCAUAAAAAUAUAAUUUUUAAUUGAAUUUAUCAAAUACUGUUUCAUUAUUUUGUUGUUUUAUGACUAUACAAACAUGUACUUUUGUGAUGUGCCAAUUUGUUGGUAUAAGAAGUAGUUUCUAUGACUUUUAUGGCAUUUUAAAAGUU